rnacentral:rRNA from 5 species
AAAUUGAAGAGUUUGAUCAUGGCUCAGAUUGAACGCUGGCGGCAGGCCUAACACAUGCAAGUCGAGCGGUAGCACAGAGAGCUUGCUCUCGGGUGACGAGCGGCGGACGGGUGAGUAAUGUCUGGGAAACUGCCUGAUGGAGGGGGAUAACUACUGGAAACGGUAGCUAAUACCGCAUAACGUCGCAAGACCAAAGUGGGGGACCUUCGGGCCUCAUGCCAUCAGAUGUGCCCAGAUGGGAUUAGCUAGUAGGUGGGGUAACGGCUCACCUAGGCGACGAUCCCUAGCUGGUCUGAGAGGAUGACCAGCCACACUGGAACUGAGACACGGUCCAGACUCCUACGGGAGGCAGCAGUGGGGAAUAUUGCACAAUGGGCGCAAGCCUGAUGCAGCCAUGCCGCGUGUGUGAAGAAGGCCUUCGGGUUGUAAAGCACUUUCAGCGGGGAGGAAGGCGGUGAGGUUAAUAACCUCAUCGAUUGACGUUACCCGCAGAAGAAGCACCGGCUAACUCCGUGCCAGCAGCCGCGGUAAUACGGAGGGUGCAAGCGUUAAUCGGAAUUACUGGGCGUAAAGCGCACGCAGGCGGUCUGUCAAGUCGGAUGUGAAAUCCCCGGGCUCAACCUGGGAACUGCAUUCGAAACUGGCAGGCUAGAGUCUUGUAGAGGGGGGUAGAAUUCCAGGUGUAGCGGUGAAAUGCGUAGAGAUCUGGAGGAAUACCGGUGGCGAAGGCGGCCCCCUGGACAAAGACUGACGCUCAGGUGCGAAAGCGUGGGGAGCAAACAGGAUUAGAUACCCUGGUAGUCCACGCCGUAAACGAUGUCGAUUUGGAGGUUGUGCCCUUGAGGCGUGGCUUCCGGAGCUAACGCGUUAAAUCGACCGCCUGGGGAGUACGGCCGCAAGGUUAAAACUCAAAUGAAUUGACGGGGGCCCGCACAAGCGGUGGAGCAUGUGGUUUAAUUCGAUGCAACGCGAAGAACCUUACCUGGUCUUGACAUCCACAGAACUUAGCAGAGAUGCUUUGGUGCCUUCGGGAACUGUGAGACAGGUGCUGCAUGGCUGUCGUCAGCUCGUGUUGUGAAAUGUUGGGUUAAGUCCCGCAACGAGCGCAACCCUUAUCCUUUGUUGCCAGCGGUUAGGCCGGGAACUCAAAGGAGACUGCCAGUGAUAAACUGGAGGAAGGUGGGGAUGACGUCAAGUCAUCAUGGCCCUUACGACCAGGGCUACACACGUGCUACAAUGGCAUAUACAAAGAGAAGCGACCUCGCGAGAGCAAGCGGACCUCAUAAAGUAUGUCGUAGUCCGGAUUGGAGUCUGCAACUCGACUCCAUGAAGUCGGAAUCGCUAGUAAUCGUAGAUCAGAAUGCUACGGUGAAUACGUUCCCGGGCCUUGUACACACCGCCCGUCACACCAUGGGAGUGGGUUGCAAAAGAAGUAGGUAGCUUAACCUUCGGGAGGGCGCUUACCACUUUGUGAUUCAUGACUGGGGUGAAGUCGUAACAAGGUAACCGUAGGGGAACCUGCGGUUGGAUCACCUCCUUA